UACGUAGGUGGCAAGCGUUGUCCGGAUUUACUGGGCGUAAAGGGCGUGCAGGCGGUUUGUUAAGUCUGGGGUGAAAGCUCCCGGCUCAACUGGGAGAGGUCCUUGGAUACUGGCGAACUUGAGGGAUGCAGAGGAAAGUGGAAUUCCCGGUGUAGUGGUGAUAUGCGUAGAUAUCGGGAGGAACACCAGUGGCGAAGGCGGCUUUCUGGGCAUUUCCUGACGCUGAGACGCGAAAGCGUGGGGAGCGAACCGG
rnacentral:rRNA from 1 species